rnacentral:rRNA from 1 species
UACGGGAGGCAGCAGUGGGGAAUAUUGCACAAUGGGCGAAAGCCUGAUGCAGCUAUGCCGCGUGUAUGAAGAAGGCCUUAGGGUUGUAAAGUACUUUCAUCGGGGAGGAAAAACAAAACUAAUAAUUUUAUUUCUUGACGUUACCCGAAAAAGAAGCACCGGCUAACUCCGUGCCAGCAGCCGCGGUAAUACGGAGGGUGCUAGCGUUAAUCAGAAUUACUGGGCGUAAAGAGCACGUAGGUGGUUUUUUUAAAGUCAGAUGUGAAUCCCUGGGCUUAACCUAGGAACUGCAUUUUGAAACUGAAAUACUAGAGUAUCGUAGAGGGAGGUAGAAUUCUAGGUGUAGCGGUGAAAUGCGUAGAUAUCUGGAGGAAUACCUGUGGCGAAAGCGGCCUCCUAAACGAAUACUGACACUGAGGUGCGAAAGCGUGGGGAGCAAACAGG